rnacentral:tRNA from 2 species
GCCGGGGUGGCGAAACUGGUAGACGCGCCGGAUUCAAAAUCCGGUUCUCGAAAGAGAGUGCGGGUUCGACUCCCGCCCCCGGCACCA